AUAUAACGUCACCGGGGAUGAUUCACAAGAGAGAAGAGAGAAAUCUAACCGAUCUAUUCCUUCGAAAAGGGGAAUCGUUUCUUAGCAGAGGUUAGAGCAGUUAGCGAGAUACUCUCCAAUCGUGUCUAUUUGUAUUUCGAAUCUCUCUAUUUUGUACGCGCGCUUUAUGGGGUAUGGUCUCUUUAAACUCUUUUUAACGAAUCGUUGAUCGCACGACAAGAUCUCGCGACGACGAUUCGAACGAAACGGCUUGAA